UUUGUUAGCUAGCUUUGAGGUUACAGAGGUUAGCCAUUGCUCCGACGGUUCAGCGAUCAACAUUUCGAAUAAAGGCGAACGUGUGGAUGUUUAUGUUGGGAUCCAGUAUCCGGCCACACGCUCGUAGACAGGAGGAGGACGUGUGCACUCGUUGAGACGGCGCUGAAUCCGAUUCUCAUUCAUUUUUUUAAGCUAACUUGCGUUUGCUAGCUUGUUAGCUCGGCCGGCUAACGUGUUUGUGCGUAACGGUAGUGAGUGAAAGAAAACAUCCAUCCCUGGUGACCGCGGACUGCUGUGGGUGUGUGUCGCACACAGUUUGUCUGUCUGUGUGUGUCCGUGUGUGUGCUGCUGUAUCUCAGCUCACACGGUUAGCAGGUUCACUUGAGCGAGCAUCGACGUUUUUCAAAACGCGUGCAUCAUCCCGGUGCUAGCCGCGCUCCACCAGCGGAUUCCUGCCGGACGCAGAGAUCAUGUCGGAGCUGUACAUCCGUGUGGCGGAGGAGGAGAACGAGGAGCCCAUGGAGAUCCCCUCGGAGGACGACGGGACCGUGUUGCUGUCGUCGGUGGCGGCUCAGUUUCCAGGGGCGUGCGGGCUGCGCUACAGGAACCCGGAGUCCCAGUGCAUGAGGGGGGUCCGGCUCGUGGAGGGGGUCCUGAACGCACCGGAGAACGACUGGGGGAGUCUGGUCUACGUCGUCAAUUAUCCCAAAGAUAACAAAAGGAAGAUGGAUGAAAUAGAUGCUGCCUCAGCCGUGAAAGUCAAGAGGGGCUUUCAGAAGACAUCAGAUCUCAUUGUCCUCGGGCUACCGUGGAAAACAUCCGAACAAGACUUGAAAGAUUAUUUCACAACUUUCGGGGAGGUCAUCAUGGUGCAGGUCAAGAGAGAUGCAAAAACUGGCAACUCAAAAGGAUUUGGAUUUGUCCGAUUCACUGAAUACGAGACACAAACCAAAGUCAUUGCUCAGAGACAUAUGAUUGAUGGAAGGUGGUGUGAUUGCAAACUUCCUAACUCAAGGAAUUUUCCUUUUGACUGUCCCUCUCAGGCAUGUCCUGAUGAGCCGAUGCGAAGCCGUAAAAUCUUUGUUGGCCGCUGCACAGAGGACAUGUCAACUGAUGAGCUGCGGCAGUACUUCAUGCAGUACGGUGAAGUCACUGAUGUCUUCAUCCCCAAACCUUUCCGGGCUUUUGCAUUUGUCACAUUUGCUGACGACCAGGUCGCCCAAGCCCUGUGUGGCGAGGACUUGAUCAUCAAGGGCAUCAGCGUGCACAUCUCUAAUGCUGAGCCCAAACACAACAACAGUAGGCAAAUGAUGGAUCGUGGGCGGUUUGGGGCUGUUCACCAACUCUUUCCCAAUUUCCCGGGAGGAAGCGCCUCAUUGGCAGCAAUGUUCGACAGAUCUCAGUAUCAGUUCCCCUCCUCCAAUGUGUAAAUGCUUUGUCAUCAAAGAACACAGCUUCACCCUGCAUAUACUGUAUUAGACGGGACCUCGGACACGGACAGCGCAGGUUUUCGUUGGAGUCAGUUGUGGAGAAGCUGAAGACAUUGGUGGGUGGGCCAGGUGCAAACCAUCAAUGGAAUAGCUGCUCGACUGUCCAACUCCUGAGAAGGAUCAGCUUCACCUCACUAUCAAGAAACCUCGGACCAUCCCUAAAUGAAAUUCAGUGGACCGUACUUAAUUGGGCUGAGGUAUUUGUGUAUACCUCCAAAAAAAGAAGACGAGGGGUAGGAUGAGUUAAAGCUAUUCAUUCCGUCCUACUCCUGCUAAAGCAUGUAAUGCCUUAUCUGAAUUAUUUACUUGGAUUCUGAUGUCUACUGAUGUUUUUGCUCGUUUUUUUAUUUUUUAACAUGUCAAAAAUAAAUUGGAUCAAACAGGCAAAUGUCUCACCUACAGUUUGACAGCGAUCAUACUUGUUCUUUUUCCAAACUUAUGGAACCCAAAGUCUGCCUUAAAUCUAACACCAUGCAUUUCUGUCAGUAAAUACUUGAUUGUUUGUCCUCCAUUAGAAGUGGGUGAUGGCUCACUGAAGUGUUAACCUGUAGGUUUGUUUUCAAUGUGGUUUUAAAAAAAAAUGUUUAGAUAAGCCCGAAAUAAGUGUUCUUGUUCUUUUUGUUUACCUUGAUUGUAAAGUGGUUGAAAUGUACAAGCUGACUGAUUUCCAAAGGGACUUAAACAACUGACUGAACAUGCCAGCAAAAAAACUCACUUUGUAUAUUGAAAGAUUUUAGUAUUGCAGUGUAAAAUAAAAGUUGAGUUUUUAAUCUUC